UACGAAGGGGGCGAGCGUUGUUCGGAUUUACUGGGCGUAAAGGGCGCGUAGGCGGCCAUUCAAGUCAGGCGUGAAAGCCCCGGGCUCAACCUGGGAGGUGCGCUUGGGACUGGGUGGCUGGAGUUCGGGAGAGGAGAGUGGAAUUCCCAGUGUAGAGGUGAAAUUCGUAGAUAUUGGGAAGAACACCGGUGGCGAAGGCGGCUCUCUGGACCGAGACUGACGCUGAGGCGCGAAAGCGUGGGGAGCAAACAGG
rnacentral:rRNA from 1 species